rnacentral:misc_RNA from 1 species
CGUCCGGGAGCGCGCUCUGUUCGUGCUCCGCGAGAGGGCGGAGCGGGACGGCGCUGCGCGGGGAUGAGCCAGCGAUCGCGCUCGAUCUGGCGCGCCGGCCGCUCGAAACCCGACCUUCCGAUGCCCAUAUUCGGAGGAGCCCGGCGGCUUCCCGACCGCCCUGGCUCGGACCCGGAAUGGCGCUUCCCAAGCAACUCGUCGAUAUCGACACGAUCUAUCUCGAGCCCGCGGUGCGCGACUACCCGCGUGGCCGAGAGAUCCUGGGGCGAUUUUCCGAGGCGCGUCUGAUCGAGGUGGAGUCGCACUGGCGCAUCCCAGAGCUGCACGGCAA